rnacentral:rRNA from 1 species
UACGGGGGGGAGCAAGCGUUGUUCGGAUUUACUGGGCGUAAAGGGCGCGUAGGCGGUCAGCACAAGUCAGUUGUGAAAUCUCCGGGCUUAACUCGGAAAGGUCAACUGAUACUGUGCGACUAGAGUGCAGAAGGGGCAACUGGAAUUCCCGGUGUAGCGGUGAAAUGCGUAGAGAUGCGGAGGAACACCGAUGGCGAAGGCAGCCCCCCUGGGCUGACACUGACGCCUCAGGCACGAAAGCGUGGGAGCAACA